rnacentral:lncRNA from 1 species
UUUCUACUCCGUUGGUGGGUUAGGGGCUGAGACACACACACACACACAGGUUAUCUAUGGCUAAGUGUACAGCUAAGUUUGCAUGUAUUUCUGUGUUGUUGGGGCAGGGGCUUACUGUAACUACAGUGUUAGCAGGGAUGAGCAUCAUUGUUUAUCCUGCUCAGCCAAUGAGGAGGUCAGAGAUAGAUCCCCUCUCUACCUGGCUGAGACCAUUUGGAGGUUGAAGAGACCCGUCCCACACACUCUCUCUCCCAGACAGUCACAGGAAUCGCUGACGAUCACACACACAAAGGAGAGAGCCAAAAGGACAACAGAACAAGCAACGGACAUCCUCUGACCCAUCUGUGAUUUUCCUCAGCUCUUUGUCAACUUCUACAGGAGGGGUGCGUCCCUUGAGUGGGUUGAGUCACUGACGUGAUCUUCCUGUCCUGGUUGGCGCCCCCCCUUGGGUUGUGCCGUGGGGAGAUCUUCGUGGGCUAUACUCGGCCUUGUCUCAGGAUGGACCAUGCCUCAGGACUACCUGGCCUGAUGAAUCCUUGCUGUGCCCAGUCCACCUGGUCGUGCUGCUGCUCCAGUUUCAACGGUUCUGCCUGCGGCUAUGGAACCCUGACCUGUUCACCGGACGUGCUACCUGUCCCAGACCUGCUGUUUUCAACUCUCUAGAGACAGCAGGAGUGGUAGAGAUACUCUGAAUGAUCGGCUAUGAAAAGCCAACUGACAUUUACUCCUGAGGUGCUGACUUGUUGCACCCUCUACAACCACUGUGAUUAUUAUUAUUUGACCCUGCUGGUCAUCUAUGAAAAUGUUAAUAUCUUGGCUAUGUUCUGUUAUAAUCUCCACCCGGCACAGCCAGAAGAGGACUGGCCACCCCUCAUAGCCUGUUUCCUCUCUAGGUUUCUUCCUAGGUUCUGGCCUUUCUAGGGAGUUUUUCCUAGCCACCGUGCUUCUACAUCUGAUUGCUUGCUGUUUGGGGUUUUAGGCUAGGUUUCUGUACAGCACUUUGUCACAUCAGCUGAUGUAAGAAGGGCUUUAUAAAUACAUUUGAUUGAAAUUUGCUUGAAGGAAAGAAAUUCAAAAAAAUUACUUUUAACAAGGCACACCAGUUAAUUGAAAUGCAUUCCAGGUGACUACCUCAUGAAGCUGAUUGAGAGAAUGCCAAGAGUGUGCAAUGCUCUCAUCAAUGCAAAGGGUAGCUACUUUGAAUAAUCUCAAAUAUAUUUUGAUUUGUUUAACACUUUUUUGGUUACUACAUGAUUCCAUAUGUGUUAUUUCAUAGUUUUGAUGUCUUCACUAUUAUUCUACAAUGUAGAAAACAGUAAUAAUAAAGAAAAACCCUGGAAUGAGUAGGUGUGUCCAAACUUUUGACUGGUACUGUAUGCCAGCACUCUGAUGCACCACAAUGUUGUGUCCACAGAACAGUCACAACAUGAUACUUAAGCCAAACCUCACUGAAACAUAAACCAGGGCCACAUUCAGUAGCCAAACGUUGUUGAAUGUUGCAGAUAGAAAUUCAAUGAAAAGAACCAAAAUGAUUCCUUGGUCUACAUGUCGGAGGCACAUUUGUUCUACAUUACAUAUUACUAUUUGACCAUUCCAAAAACAUUAUGUCCUGCUGAACACGCCCCAGAGCACAGACCUGUAGGGGAAAAGGUUAAAAAAAAAACACUAACACAUAGGUGCUGAAGAAAGCCUUGAAUUAGGGCUGUCCUGUCGAGCAUUAAACCAAGUGAAGGCCAGAAUGAAAACUGACAGAUUAGAGAAGAGGAAUGGACACAAACACAUUUAUCUUUUAUCACAGAGGAAGUAUUUACAUUAAUAGAGUAUGCACACCCAUACAUUCAAGGCACAAGACAAUGUAGAAAUUGUUUAUGACAUGAUGGUAAACAAGGAGUUUUCCCCCCCAUCUUCUAUCCAAUAUAGUCCAAAAGUAACUCCAUAAAAAAAAGUGUUUACACCCCAACGCAUACAGUAUAAUAAUUUAGACGUCAAUCUAGCUACUUCUCUCUAUAUAUAUCUGGUUAGAACCCACAUCUAACAUUAUAGUUCAACUUCUAUCAUUGUCAUAUGCUUAUCAUUUACCUUAAUAUUACCAGGUACCAAGUUGACUAAGACCAUUACUUUAAAGUGGACAGUGUUUGUCUGAAUCCGUAUUCUUUGACUUGUAGGGCUGCCGCUACAGUGGCCUGGUUCAAAGCCUGGUUGGGCCUAGACAACAAGAGCCCUUACAGUACAAUCUACAGUCACUUCACCACCCCAGAGAGGAAAGCAAGACACCAGCAAGGGGAAGGAGGGAAGAAGGGAAUGUACAAAAGGGCAUUGGAGUCGGAGCAAAGAAAGAAAUCAGGUUUACGCAAGUGUCUUUGAGCACAUGCAGCUUACUUGACAUAUAAUAACAAUACAAAGCAAACUAAAUCAAUCCACGGAAUAGUAUCAAACAUAUUAACCACAAAGUUAAAGACACAAAACAGAUAAAGAUGACAUCAAGCCCCGAUACAGGAUGACUGAUUCCAGGGGCGAAAAUCUGAUAUCAACAUUGGAGGGGACAAUUACAUUACAUUUUCUCAAGAGCAAUUCUUGAGGGGGACACCAAAAGUAGUGCUGUAACACAUAGCCUACGUUGUAAUAUGGUAAAUGUAUAUUGAGGAACCAAAGAAAUAAGGUGUUUGCCGUACUCCAAACUACCGGUACCCAAAACUACACAACUAAUCACAACAGCAAUACCAUUGCCUUUAACAAAUCUUAGUUCAGUCACCAGUUUGAGAGUGGGGGUAUCCAUGGCAUUUUCCAAUUAUGUUCCUAUUUUACAAGUAAAAAAAAUUGAGAACCUUUCAUAAUGUUGCCAAACAAAGACUCAACAAACUUACCUGAGACUCCCUGUCUCUGCCAGUCUGUCCCUGCAUAUCUGUCCCCAACUCUGCUGUCUGUGUGCCAUCUGUUGCCUGCUCUGCCUAAUGACAUCAUUGUGAAACAUUUCCAUUAGAAUUUCAUUUCUUUCUUAUGAACAAUUUAUCAACUAGUCUUUGAGAUAUUAGGCUACUAGGGUUCUUACUUUGCGUUUUGGUGUACUGAAAAAUACUCUGAUGUCCGUCUUUUUUCUACCAUUUUUCUACCUGGCUGGCUACACACACACAGUAUGUAGGUUAUUUACAGUAGGAGAUGGGCUUCUAUCAUCUUAUCUUCUAUCAUUCUAUAUGGGCUUCGAUCUAAAAGGUAGCUAGCAAAUGUGAAACGGAUUGCAGUGACAAGAGUUGACAGCUGUAUGAGUUCACCAUUUACACAACAUAUGCUGCAACCUUUUGUAAUUUUAAUCGUUUGUUUCAUAUUGGCUGGCUUCUAACAAU